rnacentral:rRNA from 1 species
GUAGGGAAUCUUCCACAAUGGACGAAAGUCUGAUGGAGCAACGCCGCGUGAGUGAAGAAGGUCUUCGGAUCGUAAAACUCUGUUGUUAGAGAAGAACGUGCAUGAUAGUAACUGAUCAUGUAAUGACGGUAUCUAACCAGAAAGCCACGGCUAACUACGUGCCAGCAGCCGCGGUAAUACGUAGGUGGCAAGCGUUGUCCGGAUUUAUUGGGCGUAAAGGGAACGCAGGCGGUUUUUUAAGUCUGAUGUGAAAGCCUUCGGCUUAACCGAAGAAUAGCAUUGGAAACUGGAAGACUUGAGUGCAGAAGAGGAGGGUGGAAUUCCAUGUGUAGCGGUGAAAUGCGUAGAUAUUCGGAGGAACACCAGUGGCGAAGGCGGCUCACUGGCUCGAUACUGACGCUGAGGUGCGAAAGCGUGGGGAGCAAACAGGAUUAGAUACCCCUGUAGUCC